rfam:Canis lupus familiaris chromosome X, whole genome shotgun sequence.
AGGAGGAACAACCACAGUGGCGGGGGCCAGCUCUGGAGCCCUGGAUUCAGCUCCUGCAGUAACUCCAGAGCUCUCCUUCUGCAGGGCCUGGAGGCUCCGGGGGCGG